rnacentral:rRNA from 1 species
UACGGAGGGUGCAAGCGUUAUCCGGAUUUACUGGGUUUAAAGGGUGCGUAGGUGGAUUGGUAAGUCCGUGGUGAAAUCCCCGAGCUUAACUUGGGAACUGCCGUGGAUACUAUCAAUCUUGAAUACCGUGGAGGUCAGCGGAAUAUGUCAUGUAGCGGUGAAAUGCUUAGAUAUGACAUAGAACACCAAUUGCGAAGGCAGCUGGCUACGCGAAUAUUGACACUGAGGCACGAAAGCGUGGGGAUCAAACAGGAUUAGAUACCCUGGUAGUCCACGCCCUAAACGAUGGAUACUCGACAUACGCGAUACACUGUGUGUGUCUGAGCGAAAGCAUUAAGUAUCCCACCUGGGAAGUACGAUCGCAAGAUUGAA